rnacentral:rRNA from 1 species
CUACGGGACGCUCCAGUGGGGAAUCUUGCGCAAUGGGCGAAAGCCUGACGCAGCAACGCCGCGUGCGGGAUGAAGGCCUUCGGGCUGUAAACCGCUUUCAGCAGGAACGAAAAUGACGGUACCUGCAGAAGAAGGAGCGGCCAACUACGUGCCAGCAGCCGCGGUGACACGUAGGCUCCAAGCGUUGUCCGGAUUUAUUGGGCGUAAAGAGCUCGUAGGCGGUUGAGUAAGUCGGGUGUGAAAACUCUGGGCUUAACCCGGAGACGCCAUCCGAUACUGCUCUGACUAGAGUUCAGGAGGGGAGUGGGGAAUUCCUGGUGUAGCGGUGAAAUGCGCAGAUAUUAGGAGGAACACCGGUGGCGAAGGCGCCACUCUGGACUGAAACUGACGCUGAGGAGCGAAAGCAUGGGUAGCAAACAGGAUUAGAUACCCUGGUAGUC